rnacentral:rRNA from 1 species
UGGGGAAUUUUGGACAAUGGGCGAAAGCCUGAUCCAGCCAUGCCGCGUGUGUGAAGAAGGCCUUCGGGUUGUAAAGCACUUUUGUCCGGAAAGAAAUGGCUCUGGUUAAUACCUGGGGUCGAUGACGGUACCGGAAGAAUAAGGACCGGCUAACUACGUGCCAGCAGCCGCGGUAAUACGUAGGGUCCAAGCGUUAAUCGGAAUUACUGGGCGUAAAGCGUGCGCAGGCGGUUGUGCAAGACCGAUGUGAAAUCCCCGAGCUUAACUUGGGAAUUGCAUUGGUGACUGCACGGCUAGAGUGUGUCAGAGGGGGGUAGAAUUCCACGUGUAGCAGUGAAAUGCGUAGAGAUGUGGAGGAAUACCGAUGGCGAAGGCAGCCCCCUGGGAUAACACUGACGCUCAUGCACGAAAGCGUGGGGAGCAAACAGG